GGGGGCGAAUAUGGUAUCGACUGGGCAAAGUGCUGAUGAGAGUGGCGUUUCGAGGUUCCAGGUGGCCUCGUAAAACCCUGGAAAUAAAUUUAAGUGCAGAAAAUAACGCACCUUUAAGAAUGGCUGCUUAAUAAGCAACCUUCAGCUCCUGUGUCUUUCUUGCGUGAUACGGUCGUAGCUUAAAAAAUAGCGAGAUAGUUUUAUUUUUUACGCCUGAGGAAAAUAAAGCGAAACUUUUGAUGGCUAGUGUGUAUGGCGUUUGUCUAUUAGCAAAAUAUACACGAAACUGAUUAAUAGACUACAAACGUAGAAGCUUUUGUCAAACUGUCGCAGGACGUGGGUUCAAAUCCCACCGCCUCCACCA
rnacentral:tmRNA from 1 species